rnacentral:rRNA from 1 species
CCUACGGGUGGCAGCAGUGAGGAAUAUUGGUCAAUGGGCGCAAGCCUGAACCAGCCAAGUCGCGUGAGGGAAUAAGGCCCUACGGGUCGUAAACCUCUUUUGCCGGGGAGCAACGGCGGGGACGUGUCCCGGCCCGGAGAGUACCCGGAGAAAAAGCAUCGGCUAACUCCGUGCCAGCAGCCGCGGUAAUACGGAGGAUGCGAGCGUUAUCCGGAUUUAUUGGGUUUAAAGGGUGGGUAGGCGGGGUGUUAAGUCAGCGGUAAAAAUGCGGGGCUCAACCCCGUCCCGCCGUUGAAACUGGGGGUCUUGAGUGGGAGAGAAGAAGGCGGAAUGCGUGGUGUAGCGGUGAAAUGCAUAGAUAUCACGCAGAACCCCGAUUGCGAAGGCAGCCUGCCGGCGCCCUACUGACGCUGAGGCACGAAAGUGCGGGGAUCGAACAGGAUUAGAUACCCCAGUAGUC